GUGUGAGUGAAAAUGUUGUCCCACAUUGAAAGAGUGUAAACGUGAAGAGGAGGAUUGGGAUGUGUAUCCCACAUUGGAAAAAAGAGAAAGUUGUGUCUACAUUGUAAGGCUAAGGGGCUAUUUUCCUCGUAGCCAUAUGGUUUUGAGGUGAAACCUCCUUGAACUUAUAUAGUGGACACUCAUGACGGGUGGCCCAGGCCUGUUUGUCAACUACUGUUUGAAGGACGAAGCAAAAGUGUCACCCCCAGGAAGCUCAUAUGUUAGUACAGGUAUGUAACCUUGUAUAUCAAUGUUGUAGUUGAGUCCUAACGCCCAUGAACUGACAUGUACUGUUAGUAGCUUUGGGUCUGCAGUCUCUAUCUAAUCUUGUUAUAAUCGUUGCAAAAAAAAAAAAUGUGUGCUCCCUUCCUCAUAUAUGUUUAUUUUUUCUUGCACAGUAGUUGUAUCGUAUUAUUUGCCCUUUUUUGAAAAAAAUAAAAAAAUUCUUGGAGUAUUAGUUUUACACAUUUUUUUUUUAUUUUUUUCGUUCUUUUUAAUUUGACUUGAUUUGACUUUUACAUUAUUCACACUAUCUCCUUUGAUCAUCUUUUUUGAACUAUGAGAGUGAGGGAUAGCUCAAGUGGUUAGAGCUCUCUUCUCGGUUUCAGGUAAUUUUGGGAUCGAUUCUCAUCACUUGCCCUUGUGGCUCUCUGAACACCAAAAAAAAAAAAAUCUUUCUUGAACUAUAUGUAAAGAAAAACAUAUUCGUGUGCGAAAAAAGGGUUGUGGUAUAUAUAAGAACCCUCCUCUAUAUAAGAACCCAAUCUUAUAUAAGAACCAAUCUCAGCCGUUUAUUAGUUUUGAUCUAACCGUCCUAAAUACAGCCAUAAUAAUGGCAUUUUUGUAAUUUCAUGCAUUAUACAUACACCUCCUCUCAUCUUCCUCUUUCACGUAUCUUUCACUCUAAUUUGUUUUCUCUCUUCUCAAACACAUUUCACACUUCCCACCACUUUCUCUCUCCUAAAACCCCCAAUUUUUCUCAGAAAUCCACCGUAAUCGCUCCUAAUUGAAGAAAAUUAUAACGAUUUUCUUCUACUUUUUGCUCAAAUUCAGCUAAAUUUGUUCAUUAAGUUGCAUAAACUAGUUGAAUGGAGAAAUUUAAGUAGAAAUUUUGUAAAUUCGAACCCUAGUUUGACGGAAAUCGAAGAAAAAUUGAAUGGACGGAGGCAAAGAACAAUAAAUUCGUACACCAAUUUGUUCUGAAGUGCAAAGACCAUAAAUCGAACUUUCACCCCUAACGUGAUGGGAGGUGCAAGUGAACACAUUGGUCGUCUUGCUAGUUGUUUUCAACACGAAUCUAAUUCUGCAGAAAGAAGAAUGAAAGUGACAAGAGAAAUCAUGAAAAUGGAAUGAUUAUCUCCAAAUGUGGUUCUCAAAGAAGAUUUCUCUUAAUCCUCUUCAGUCGAUUUCUUUUUCAACCUUCCAGAUGACUACAAAUAUGCUUAUGUCCAAGGUUUGUUGAUUUCCGAUUAAAAGAUAUUUGUGUAAAUAUACUAUGAAGAAGGAGAGAGUAGUACCUAAAAAGAUAAUAUGUAUUGCUCUGAAAGUUUCUUAAUUAGUAGGAACUAUUAUUGUUAUAUUUUGUGAUGAUACACUAAAUUACAACACUAAUAUAUAUAUGUCGGUUAA